rnacentral:lncRNA from 1 species
UUAGAAUCCAAGGAAGUUGACAUGUCAUCACUUCAUUUUUUUGCGCCUGCGCAUAAAUCUGAGAAACGUGAGUUUUGUCUUCAUUGUUUAUCUCGACAUAGGAUAGGUUGUGUGAAAAUAUUACUGAUGUUUAACGUUAAAAAUGGACCAAAAGAUUAAUGCUAAACAACAUUUGACAUGUUUGAACGAACAUAAAUAGAUUAUUUACUAGGUUUUUUUAGCUUUUCGGCGUGAUUUUACAGUCCCCCACCACGUUUUGUGGGAGCAUAAUGAACGCUAAGUACUUGGUGUUAUUUGGACAUAAAUUAUGAACUUUGUCAAAAGAAACCACAUUUGUUCCGGACCUGGGAUGCCUUCCGGACCUGGGAUGCCUGUCUUCUGAUGGAGAUAAUCAAAGGUUCCCUUGGAGAGUUCAUCAAUGAGCUUGACGCCUUGAUAAGUUCCUUUCCUGAAGAUGGCUCACCUCUCACAGUUCUGGACCAUUUCCGGAGACCUUCUCCCUUACCUCACCUCGCUCAUCAACUCAUCCUUGACCGCUGGCUACGUCCCUUCCGUCUUCAAGAGAGCGAGAGUUGCACCCCUUCUGAAAAAACCUACACUCGAUCCCUCCGAUGUCAACAACUACAGACCAGUAUCCCUUCUUUCUUUU